UACAGAGGGGGCAAGCGUUGUUCGGAAUUACUGGGCGUAGAGGGCGCGUAGGCGGCCUUCUAAGUCGAACGUGAAAUCCCCGGGCUCAACCCGGGAACUGCGUCCGAUACUGGAAGGCUUGAAUCCGGGAGAGGGAUGCGGAAUUCCAGGUGUAGCGGUGAAAUGCGUAGAUAUCUGGAGGAACACCGGUGGCGAAGGCGGCAUCCUGGACCGGCAUUGACGCUGAGGCGCGAAAGCCAGGGGAGCAAACAGG
rnacentral:rRNA from 1 species